rnacentral:tRNA from 1 species
GCGCCCGUAGCUCAGCCGGAUAGAGCAACUGCCUUCUAAGCAGUAGGUCGCAGGUUCGAGUCCUGCCGGGCGCGCCA